AGGCUUCUGAAUCCGUGCUGAAACUUCGUCAGACACCGGAGCAUCAGUACUGAUGAAACCCUAAGAUAAGUGAGGCG
rfam:Schistosoma haematobium scaffold66_27, whole genome shotgun sequence.